GUUUACUACUUGCCACUUGACGUUAAAUAUAAACAUGUCACAUCUUCAGGUUGCAGUCUUGUAAUUGACUGCUCUAUAGGCUUACAUGCAAAACAUGCAGCUGAUCUUUGAAAAUAAAAAAAUAAAAAAUACUUUCUGUUUGCUGUUUUUACUAGGUCGCACCACUUCCAGUAAACAUGAUAUCCUUCAACUUUCCAGGAUUGAUAUCCCCCA
rnacentral:lncRNA from 1 species